AUAUCCAAAACUGACUUCAGUCUUUUCAAUUCUCGUGGCAGGCUCUGCAGCGCAAUGAUUGAGAGCUUGGUUCUGGUGCUUGAUUCUGUCCACACCGGCUCCGUCGUCUCCCAGCUUAUUAUCACUUUAAGCAAGUUUUGAACUUCUUUGCACCUCAGUGACUAUAUUGGCAAGAUGGAGAAAGAAUAGGAUUUCACAAGUAAAAAUCCUGACCAAACAAUUCAAGAACACAAGAAUGUGCAGUGAAACAGCGAACAAAAGAUAACAGACUACUUGAAUAAAAAUCGAUUCAAAUAAUGUACACAGAAUGAGGUUUCUUUAGAGGGGAUAUUCAAGAAUGAUCUCUGUGGAACUAUAUCUGAGCCAAAUCCAAACAACUCUGUUAUAACUGAAGAACAGACAGAAGUUCAUUGUGGCCACAUUCAACCAAGGGAAGGAGAACAACUCAGAGUUAUUCAGCCAAUUCCUGUAGAGACUCACAGGUCACCACAAGAAGUUUGAACUUCAAGUCCACUGAUCCAUCACUUGGAGAGCUUUAAUAGAAAAGUGACAGACACUGGUUUCAGUUUAAAAUGUCACUCUGGAUGCUGCGACAGGAGGAAGAGGAUGAGAAACAUGGACUUAGAUAAACUCGUAAAAAGUGACUGUUGGAGUUAUCCAGCCUUCCAGUGUCAGCAGACAAGAUGAAGAAAGGAGGAAAGCCCUUGUUAAGCAAAAAGGAAUCCAAGAUCCACCCUGAGUUUACAGCGAUCACUGAAGGAGAGCGCAUUUCACCUUCCGUUAGAGAACUGAUGCAGAGUACAGCAGCAUGGUUAAGGAUCAGAGCCAGUCUAAGAGGAAAGACUCACGUAGUAAAGGAAAAUGUGGCUGGAUUUAGGUACUGUUAUGGUUUGUUUCUGGAUGUGCCCCCAAAGCUCAUGCAGUCACGGGUGUGAGUGCUACA